AGGUUCCACUCAAACCAUGUUCUCUACAUUUCUACUCCUGCUGUUAACAGCUGCAUCUGGAAUUAAAUGUAUUGAACUGGUUCAGCCUGCAGUCAUGGUGGUUAAGCCUGAAGAAUCAUUUUCAGUCCCCUGUAAGAUCACUGGAUACUCAGCCACAAGUUCCUGUACUAACUGGAUACGACAUGCAUCAGGAAAGGAGUUGGAAUGGAUGGGCUGGUACUGCAGCUCCAGUGAUACUGGCAGCAAAGAUUCACUAAAGAACAAGAUCCAUUUCUCAGCCGAGGCCUCCAGCAACACUGUGAUUUUACACGGGCAAAACUUUCAGACUGAGGACACAGCUGUGUAUUACUGCGCUCGUGAUCCACAGUGAAACAGAUCAACAAAGACCCUGUACAAAAACACCCAGUACAGAAGACUGUAAGAGGCAGAAACAAUGUUUUAUCUCUGUUUUAACUUCUAAGUUUCUCAGAAGUGUGCGAAGACGACGUCAACUAGCUUACAGUCAGUUGAUUUAAUGAGAUUGUAGUGUUCAUUUUAAAACUACAAUUAGAAUUUAAAUAGUUUUUUAAAUCUACUAA